GUUGAAACACUGGUUCCUGUAUGACCACCAAAAUUAAGCAACAUCGAGUCAGUACCUAGAUGGGUGACCACUUGGGAAUACCAGGUGCUGUAAG